UAACUUCUGAGUUUGAAAAAUAUCUUCUGAGUUUAGAAAAUAACUUCUGAGUUUGAAAAAUAUCUUCUGAGUUUGGAAAAUAACUUCUGAGUUUGAAAAAUAACUUGAGAGUAGGCAUACAGAUAACUUAGCGCGUCUUUUCAUUUGUCUUUCUCAUUCCGCGUUAUUAUUCCAAGCUUGACUGUUGAUAAAAUCACUAUAAUAAAAAUGUAUUCUAUCAUUAAAAAUAAAAUUUGUAGUAGAACUACUUUUAAAAGAAAAGUUAAAAAAAUAAUAUUAGAAAUGCGUGAAAAAGAAAGAAUUAAAAAUCUUGAACAAGUUUUUCUUAGCAAGAGGUUAUUUGAAGUGCAGCAACACCUUUCGGAAAAUGAAAUAAGUGCUAAUUGUGAACAAGGUUUUUCUAACACGAAAUUUGAAGAGUUGCAACACCUAUCGAAUAUUAUUUCUGAACAUGAAAGUGACAGUGAAAAUUCUGGAAACAAUUGUGUCGCUGUCUCAACUAAUUUUGAAGCUAUUCCAGAAAAUUUAAAAAAAAACUUAGUAUUAUGGGCUAUUCAGCAUAACAUAUCGAAUAUUUGCUUGCGUGAUUUGCUUAACAUUUUGCAUAAUUCUCAUCCUUAUUUGCCAUUAGACCCUCGAACAUUAUUACAAACUCGCGUUUCCCUUGAGAAAAUUUUUAUCGAAGUUCCACCUGGUAGAUACUGGCAUUUCGGUUUGGUUCGCGCUCUUACUAAGGUUUUUGAAAGUGUUCAGACAUGUCAAACAGUAAUAUUCUUGGACUUUAAUAUUGAUGGGAUUCCUGUUAGCAAAAGUUCAAAGGGCCAAUUUUGGCCUAUUUUGUGUUCACCAGAUGGUUUUCGUGUGCCGCCGCUAGUAAUAGGUGUUUACUACGGAAUGGCAAAACCUUCAAGUGUUAAUGAAUUUCUGCGAUUAUUUCUUGAGGAGGCUGUUAACAUUGAUGAUUUGAACAUUGGUUCCAAAAAAAUAAGUUUUAAAAUCAGGAAUUUCAUCUGUGACGCCCCCGCUCGUUCUUAUUUAAAAGGAAUCAAAGGGCAUAAUGGUUAUUUUGCUUGUGAAAGAUGUAAUGUAGAAGGGGAUUAUAAUUACAAAUCUCACCAAAUGUGUUUUCCAAACCUAUCAAAAUCACUUCGCACGAAUGAUUCUUUCCGGGCUGGGAUACACGAAGAUCAUCAUACGCAACCAUCUCCAUUAGAAAAACUUCCAAUAGAUAUUAUUAUGAAUUUUCCUCUAGAUUACAUGCACUUGUUGUGCUUAGGUGUCAUGAAAAAAUUGUUGGUUACAUGGAUUAAGAAUAGAACCCUUAAAACAAAAUUCUCGGCAAAAAACAUUGAGAGAAUCUCUAAGACCUUAGUAUCACUACGAAAAUAUGUUCCAUGCGACUUCAAUAGAACACCUCGUGGACUUGAUGUGAUAAGCUUUUGGAAGGCCACUGAAUUUCGUAUGUUUUUGUUGUACUUAGGUCCGGUUGUUUUGCAAAAUGAAACUCAUGAAGAAGUAUAUGCCAAUUUUAUGGAACUACACUGUGCUGUUUCAAUAUGUUUGAGUAAAAAUAAACAAGUUUUUGUUGAUGUCGCACAGAGUCUGUUCAAAUCAUUCAUAUAUAACUUUUCUAGUAUCUAUGGAGCUGAAAACAUAAGUUAUAACGUUCACAAUUUAUAUCAUGUCGUAGAUGAUGUUAAAUACCAUGGACCUUUAGAUAAUAUAAGUGCUUUCAAAUAUGAAAAUCGUUUACAAUAUUUAAAACGUCGAAUAAGAUCUGGAAACAGACCCCUGGAACAAAUUGCAAAUAGGAUUAUCGAAGAUUUUGAGAAUGUAGAUCUAAUUGAUGUAGAUGAAAACAAAACUCCUAUGCUUUAUAUGAAAGAUAGGAAUAAAAUAUGCAAAAUUAAACACUGUGUUGGAAUCUAUAGAGCAAUUCAGCUUCAACAUUUUGUUUUGAAGUCGUCACUUGCAGAUAGUUACUUCUUAACAAACUCAGAAGAAAUUGUUAGAAUGGAGUUUGCAACAUAUCGACAUGGCAUCCCAGUUAUCUAUGGUUCAAGCUUAAAACAAAAACAAAAUUUUUACGAAAAACCGUUCUAUUCUAAAUUUUUAAGCGUUUAUAAAUCAAAUGAAGAAGAAAAUUUGCCUAAUUUUUAUAACAUAGAAAAUAUUUCCUCUAAAUUUUUCAAAAUAACUUUACCAAACACUGAAUCUGUUUUUUUUCCAUUAGUACAUUGUUAAUCAAAAUGUAUUGUGUUGUGGAGACGCUCGAAGAUGAAGGGAAGUUCGUGACGGCAGUUCCCAAAAAUUGGGUCAUCGAUGGAACGAAGCUAUUAUGGCCAAAGUCCAAGAAAGAUUCCAUUUGCGGUCGGAAAAAUUGCAUCACAGCAUCGGAUGAUUGGCAAAGCAUAGCAUGCAAAUUAAUAUUUGAUGACAUCGGUUCCUGGGAGGAAGCAGUUCAGAAGGAAAAGGAUGCCGAGUAUUUGUCUUCUUCUGAAGAAAAUACGGAAGAAGUGACCAUCGACACCAAUUCUUCGGAAUACAUGACAGAUAUGAACAAAUUGAUGUCAACUUUGAUUCCUAAUUCUGACGUUUCCUCGUUCACCCCCCCAAAUGAAGAUGUUACCAUCACUAAUGUCAUUUCCGACUUAUACACGUUUGAAGGUAAAAAAUGUAUUUUAGCACUAGUACAAUUUUCAAAGUCGUUUUUAAACUCCAGCUUAUCUUAGACUGGGGUUUAUCCAAUGUUAUUUGAAUAGGAUAAACCCCAGUCCCUCUUAGUAACAGCUGAGAUAGCAUAUUAGUUCUUUCACU